GGGCAGCGGAGCCGGUGAAGGAAGCCGCAGGCGCGGAUGGAGGCGAAGAGAUCAGGAGCAGUAAAGGAACACUCUCUUCCCCAGUCAGCUGGGAUACGGAUUUUGUAAGGCCUAGGGACUUUGUCUUUGGAGGUCCUGUCUCCAUAAGGCUUCCCAAAACAAAGAAUGUUCAGAUUGGACUGGCCUUAAAAUGCAGUAUUUAAAACAGCAACAUGUCUGACAGAUCCGAGAAAUGAAAUACGUCCAUUUCUUUUGGCAAGGAGCAGAAGGCAACAUAAAGCAGCUGCAAGAAUUAAUUCAUGGAGAUAGUUGACAUUUUCGAGCUGACUGCCUCUUAGAGAAAAUGAUGUCAUUCUCCAGCAGCCUAAUGACAGUCAUCAGCCUGAGAGGACACAUGCUAAUAAGACUAUCACCAGCAAAGAAUUUUCUGAGCAAAUGUGUACUGGAGACCUUCUGAGGAACCCACUAGAGCCUGCACAUCCCCUUUUCCUAGCAAGGUCAACUGGAAAACAGUGUUCUUUCCAAGAUAACGUGCAACUUUCCUUUGGAAUGAUCAGCAGAAUGUCAAAUAAGGAAAGGACAUGUAGAGUUCAUGGGAGGAGACAUUACUUCUGGCUGCAGAAUUAUGGAGGCUUUAUGGGAGACGCCGUAUAUUUUAUCUGUGCGCCUUGAUCACGUGUCUGACCAUGGACAGAGAAACCAGCCUAAUGAGCCUUCUUUACAGGUCUUACUGCCUAUUAGAGCAAAGGAAGAGGAAAUCUUUGGCUAACCGGUCAGAGAAAACAACUGGAUUAAACAAGAUACUCUUCAUGACUGUGGUUGCAAAAAUGCAACACAACUUUUAAAAAUCUUAGUACUAAUUUUUAAAAAUGGCUUUUAAUUUGGGGGAGACUCGAUAACAGAACCCGAAAAUCUGAUGAAUUGUAUGAACAUUUUGUUCAGAAAAAUAAACAUAUAUUACCAGAAAAUUUCAUAUGUGAUUCAAGAAGUCCACAGAAGUUCCAUGUUGUAAGUAAUUAGAAAAUAAGAAUUCUGAAUUGUUAAAAUAAAAUUUAAUGUUCAACAUCAUUCAUCCAGGAAGUGGAAUUUUCCCUCUGUUAAUCAUAGAAAGAAAUGCUCUCAAAUUUAGGUGGAAAUAAAAUAUUUGUUGUUGGAAAUGUAUAUACUUCUGCUGCUUUUAAAAUUCCAGGCUUCAUCCAUAUUCAAAAUGCAAAAUAUUAUUAAAAUAAUCAGAGCUUUGACUUUGGAAAAGUCUGAAAUUGCACCUUGGCAACACUGGAUCUACUCCUGUCACUCCCCAAGUGGUGGUCCUUAAGUGUUAGUGUGCUUGAGAAUUAACUACAGAGAUUGUCUAAAAUUACCAGUUUCUAGGAUGAGCCCACCAAUCUGUGUUUUAACAGGAGCUCCAGAAAAUUCUCUGUUCUUCUGACCAUAUUUUGAAUAUUGAUAUGAAACUACUGAUGAACCUCUUGGUUCAUGGUUUUUUCCUAUACUACUCUCUAUCUUUUAAUUUGCCUCUAGCACUCUAUUUAUUUCUUUUCUAUUUAAACGUGUCUCCAAAUCUCUGAGAGUGUAAUUUUUCUGUUUUCUUAUGCUUUCUUUUCUUUCUUCCUUUUUUUUUUUUUUUGAGACGGAGUCUCGCUCUGUUGCCCAGGCUGGGGUAUAGUGGCGCGAUCUUGGCUCACUGCAACCUCUGCCUCCCAGGUUCACGCCAUUCUCCUGCCUCAGCCUCCCAGGUAGCUGGAACUACAGGCGCCCACCACCACGCCUGGCUAAUUUUUUGUAUUUUUAGUGGAGACGGGGUUUCACCGUGUUAGCCGGGAUGGUCUCGAUCUCCUGACCUCGUGAUCCGCCUGCCUCAGCAUCCCAAAGUGCUGGGAUUACAGGGCGUGAGCCACUGCACCCGGCCUCUUAUGCUUUAUUUUCUAUUUCUAGUAAUAUAAUCCUUCUUCCAUUGUGUUAUUUUCUCUGACUUUCUCCCCUCCCUCUUCUUCCUUUUAAAAGUUCAAUGAACUUUUUAAAAUUUAAAACACAAAUGGGUGAAGAAUUUUACAUUUCUCUUUCUUUAAAAGUGACAAAAGUUAGGUUACUUUUUCACUGAUGCAUUCAUUUAUUUUUUGUUUUUCUACUCUCUUAUUUAUAUAUCCCUAGUUCAGGGAUUACUGAAAAAAGAAAACAAAGAAGAGUUCAAGAUGCCUGUAGAUCAGGAAAAAGACAAGGUUAUAGUCUUUUAUAAUUUGCUCCAGAGGAAGCUGUGAACAUCUACUGAAAACUGACAGAUUUCACUCCUUUUUCUUAUCAGAGAAAAAUAAAAGCAAAGUAGAUUUGUUUCUUUAGGAA
rnacentral:lncRNA from 1 species